GAAUAACUCGCCGAAAGGUGAGCUAAUACCGCAUAACACCCCCGGUGAGAAUCCGGGUGGUAAAAGCUUUACGCGCUAUGAGAGGGGCCCGCGGCCGAUUAGCUUGUUGGUGGGGUAAUGGCCUACCAAGGCGACGAUCGGUAGCUGGUCUGAGAGGAUGGUCAGCCACACGGGGACUGAGAUACGGCCCCGACUCCUACGGGAGGCAGCAGCUAAGAAUCUUGCGCAAUGGGCGAAAGCCUGACGCAGCAAUUCCGCGUGGGGGACGAAGGCCCUCGGGUCGUAAACCCCUUUUGCGAGGGAAGAAGUUCUGACGGUACCUCGCGAAUAAGACACGGCUAACUACGUGCCAGCAGCCGCGGUAAUACGUAGGUGUCGAGCGUUGUCCGGAUUUAUUGGGCGUAAAGAGCCCGCAGGCGGCUUGCCAAGUUCGAGGUGAAAUCUCCCGGCUCAACCGGGAGGGUGCCUCGAAAACUGGCAGGCUUGAGGCAGGGAGAGGGAUGUGGAAUUCCCGGUGUAGUGGUGAAAUGCGUAGAUAUCGGGAGGAACACCAGUGGCGAAGGCGGCAUCCUGGCCCUGUCCUGACGCUCAGGGGCGAAAGCGUGGGGAGCAAACCGGAUUAGAUACCCGGGUAGUCCACGCCGUAAACGAUGAGUACUAGGUGUAGGGGGUAUCGACCCCCUCUGUGCCGAAGCUAACGCGAUAAGUACUCCGCCUGGGGACUACGGCCGCAAGGCUAAAACUCAAAGGAAUUGACGGGGGCCCGCACAAGCAGCGGAGCGUGUGGUUUAAUUCGAUGAUACGCGAAGAACCUCACCCAGGUUUGACAUGCAUGUGGUACUGAU
rnacentral:rRNA from 1 species